AUUGAACGCUGGCGGCAGGCCUAAAACAUGCAAGUCGAGCGAGCGGCGGACGGGUGAGUAAUGUCGGGGAAACUGCCUGAUGGAGGGGGAUAACUACUGGAAACGGUAGCUAAUACCGCAUACCAUUAGCUGUGCCCAGAUGGGAUUAGCGAGUAGGAGGGGUAACGGCGCAGCUAGGCGACGAUCCCUAGCUGGUCUGAGAGGAUGACCAGCCCCACUGGAACUGAAACACGGUCCAGACUCCUACGGGAGGCAGCACUGGGGAAUAUUGCACAAUGGGGGCAAGCCUGAUGCAGCCAUGCCGCGUGUGUGAAGAAGGCCUUCGGGUUGUAAAGCACUUUAAGCGGGGAGGCGUUACCCGCAGUAGAAGCACCGGCUAACUCCGUGCCAGCAGCCGCGGUAAUUC
rnacentral:rRNA from 1 species